rnacentral:tRNA from 1 species
AGGAUAAUAGUUAAUAAUAACAUUUAAUUUGCAUUUAAAAAGUAUUGAUAUAAUCAAUUUAUCUUA